UACGGAAGGGGCAAGCGUUGUUCGGAAUCAUUGGGCGUAAAGGGCGCGCAGGUGGCUCUGUAUGUCUGCCGUGAAAGCAUACAGCUCAACUGUAUUGUGUCGGUAGAAACUGCAGGACUUGAGGCUGGGAGGGGCUGGUGGAAUUCCCUGUGUAGCGGUGAAAUGCGUAGAGAUGGGGGAGAACACUCGUGGCGAAGGCGGCCAGCUAGACCAGUUCUGACACUGAGGCGCGACAGCGUGGGGAGCAAACAGG
rnacentral:rRNA from 1 species